CCCACCCCCCACUGCCCCAGCAUAGCCCCAGGCGCAGAGGGGGGCCCCAGCCCGAGGGCAGGGGCCCAGCUCUAUGAGGGCAUGCACCUGUGAACCUUGUGAAGGGUGCCCCUGCUGAGCUCUGAAGCUCCCCCAGCACAGGAAAGGCUUGCAAAAACAUCCCCGAUGGGCCUCACUCACCCUCCAGGCACUCAGGGGCCUGUCUGGCUCUG